GGUCCGCUGGCUCAAUGGCAGAGCGUCUGACUACGAAUCUUCUCACGAAGAGGAUGAUCAGGAGGUUCCAGGUUCGACCCCUGGGUGGAUCG